rnacentral:rRNA from 1 species
CCUACGGGGGGCUGCAGUGGGGAAUAUUGCACAAUGGGCGCAAGCCUGAUGCAGCGACGCCGCGUGAGCGAUGAAGGCCUUCGGGUCGUAAAGCUCUGUCCUAAGGGAAGAAUAAUGACGGUACCUUAGGAGGAAGCCCCGGCUAACUACGUGCCAGCAGCCGCGGUAAUACGUAGGGGGCGAGCGUUAUCCGGAAUCACUGGGCGUAAAGGGUGCGUAGGCGGCCCUGCAAGUCAGGAGUUAAAUCCCUCGGCUCAACCGAGGUCAGCUCUUGAAACUGUAGGGCUUGAGUGCAGGAGAGGAGAGAGGAAUGCCGAGUGUAGCGGUGAUAUGCGGAGAGAUUAGGGGGAAAACGAGGGGCGGAGGGGGGUGUCUGGACUGCAACGGACGCUGAGGCACGAAAGCGUGGGGAGCGAACAGGAUUAGAUACCCUUGUAGUC